GCGCCCUUAGCUCAGUGGUAGAGCGUCACAUUGACAUUGUGAAGGCCGCUGGUUCGAUCCCAGCAGGGCGCA
rnacentral:tRNA from 1 species